rnacentral:rRNA from 1 species
UAACGACUCUCGGCAACGGAUAUCUCGGCUCUCGCAUCGAUGAAGAACGUAGCGAACUGCGAUACUUGGUGUGAAUUGCAGAAUCCCGUGAACCAUCGAGUCUUUGAACGCAAGUUGCGCCCGAAGCCGUUUGGCCGAGGGCACGUUUGCCUGGGUGUCACACA